UACGGCGGCUAUAGCGAGAGGGAAACGCCCGGUCACAUUCCGAACCCGGAAGCUAAGACUCUCAGCGCCGAUGGUACUGCAGGGGAGACC
rnacentral:rRNA from 1 species